CGAAAGCCUGACGGAGCAACGCCGCGUGAGGGACGAAGGCCUCUGGGCUGUAAACCUCUUUUCUCAAGGAAGAAGAUAUGACGGUACUUGAGGAAUAAGCCACGGCUAAUUCCGUGCCAGCAGCCGCGGUAAUACGGGAGUGGCAAGCGUUAUCCGGAAUUAUUGGGCGUAAAGCGUCCGCAGGCGGCUUUUCAAGUCUGCUGUUAAAGCGUGGAGCUUAACUCCAUCAUGGCAGUGGAAACUGAAAGGCUUGAGUAUGGUAGGGGCAGAGGGAAUUCCCGGUGUAGCGGUGAAAUGCGUAGAUAUCGGGAAGAACACCAGUGGCGAAGGCGCUCUGCUGGGCCAUUACUGACGCUCAUGGACGAAAGCCAGGGGAGCGAAAGGGAUUAGAUACCCCUGUAGUCCUGGCCGUAAACGAUGAACACUAGGUGUCGGGGGAAUCGACCCCUUCGGUGUCGUAGCUAACGCGUUAAGUGUUCCGCCUGGGGAGUACGCACGCAAGUGUGAAACUCAAAGGAAUUGACGGGGGCCCGCACAAGCGGUGGAGUAUGUGGUUUAAUUCGAUGCAACGCGAAGAACCUUACCAGGGUUUGACAUCCUGCGAACCUCUUAGAAAUUUGAGGGUGCCUUCGGGAAUGCAGUGACAGGUGGUGCAUGGCUGUCGUCAGCUCGUGUCGUGAGAUGUUGGGUUAAGUCCCGCAACGAGCGCAACCCACGUUUUUAGUUGCCAGCAUUUAGUUGGGCACUCUAGAAAGACCGCCGGUGAUAAACCGGAGGAAGGUGUGGAUGACGUCAAGUCAUCAUGCCCCUUACACCCUGGGCUACACACGUACUACAAUGCUACGGACAAAGGGCAGCAAACUCGCGAGAGCUAGCAAAUCCCAUAAACCGUGGCUCAGUUCAGA
rnacentral:rRNA from 1 species